CAGAUGAAGAGGCGGACCUUAGGAUAUAAGCAAUGUGUCUUCCGUGUUUGAGCAGAUGCUGUAUAAUUUCGGUUAUAUUCACUCCACAACAAAUUAGCCUGUGAGGGUAAGCGUCCCUCUUUUCUAGCGCUAAGAAAGAAUAAAAUAAGUAAAGUCUGAUUAUUUGUGUCGGCUGAUUUCCUGCAUGUGUGGUCACAUGGUUCCGGCCCGUCAGUAAACUCAUUCAAUCACAGUGUGUACUGGAGUUUCUUUGGGAAUCUUCUGACCUAUUGACCCUGAACAUCUGCUCCGUUUCAAAAGUGGUAAACAAGCCACUCCAUCACUCAUAUGUUAUCCUUAUCAGUCUAAACAGCUUUCCUCCCAUCACAUUUCGGUCCAAUUUUAUGCUUUGCAAGCAAGAAAAGGGAAGUGAAGGGAGUUCCAAGUUAUUCAGGUCAAACUGACCUGUAACGGCGCCAGAUUUCCUCAGUAAAAAACAACUCCAUAAAGAGUAUUUCCGCUUCUUCAGAUUGACCCAGUCCAUUUGACACAAUACAGUUCUUUUAGGUUAAAACAUAUCUUAGUGCGAACCCACCAAACAACAUAAUUUUAAACUAUGAAUAUAAUCAUAUUCCUCUACAGAUCCAGUAGGUGCAAUUUAAAGGUUCAUCCUCGCAACUUCUGGUUACCAUGCUCAUCAAUUAUCAGCUCUCAAGAUCUACAGCAGGCCAUCUGCGUGCGCACAUGUGACCACUUGUGAGGGAAUUAAAGUAUGAAAAGCAAUUAGUGAUAGUUAAUCACUAGGCAGAAUAUUACAUAAUAUACAAUGUAGCAUAUUUAAAUAGAAUGUUUUAAUACCUCUAGUUUUAAACAGAGGUAAUGAAACUAGAGGUCUGUAUCAGGAAGACAAUCAGCUUUCUGAUACUAACCUCAGGAAGCUAAGGUAUGUCUCAGCUUCCAUGGGUGUGUGAGUGUGGCAGGGCUGAGCCCCAGGCCCUGAAAGAAAGGGAUUUCCCCAACCCCUGCCAUCUGUGUGUGCUUGUGUAUGUGUAUGUGUGUGUGUGUGUGUGUCCAGGACAUAAGGGCUGGGGGUCAGCGGUGACCCCCUGCCCUCUGCGUCCAGGUGUGCGUGUGUGUCGAGGCAUAAGGCUGGACAGAUACCUCUUACACCCCUUUAAAAGGAGACAGCAUAUUUCAAGAAUCACAGCUCUGCAGAACUUCUACUAUGAACACUAAACUGUAAUGACGGUUUGAGCCAUUUUUCUUGAAUGCAUAUUACAUCAGGUUUUGUAUUUAGAUUAUUAUUGAAACCUUUAAAUUCCUGACCAUUUACUAUUAGACUGCGAGCGUUUCAUUGUAAUAUUAGAAUUAUGUGACGAUUUGAGAAGCCUCAGCUUCAGAUGAUCCUUCACCAUGUCUAAGUUCAUCACGGAUUUUUUCCCCAAGAUAAAAUCCUUGACAUUAAAAAAACUUUGUAGUUGCCUUUACUAUGAUUUUUAUUUUUUCAGUUUUAGUUCUUGCUUGUUCUGAGCAAUUUAUGAUAUAUGCAAGAAAAGGAAUCAAUUUUUCCAAUGUAAUAUUACACUGACUAUUGUCUGCAAUUCUUUUCCUUUCAUAAUUUGUUUUUGAAUCAUUAACAUUAUUCUUUAUUUCUCUCCCUGCUUCAGCAUAAGUAAUUCUCUUAUCACUUUUAACUUUUUGAAUUUCAGCUGCCUCUUUUCUUACCAUGCACCCUGCGUAUGCUGCAGUAUGACAUCAUCCAGUUACAACAUUUAACAGGAUUAGUUGUCCGUCUGUUUUCACCCUCCAAGUCUCUUACGUGCGAAGAAUCUGCCUGCCUGCUCUGCCCAUUCCCAGCCAUCAUUUAACUCCAUCUGGACCUUUGGCUCACAUUACCCUCACCAAACUCCACACGGGUUUCAGAACAACCUUCCCCCACAGUUCACCAGAAUCGUCAUACGAGUGCCGCCGUUUGUGGAUCACUUCCAUUAUCCUGAGACGCUACGUGGACCUGUCAGUUGUGUUCAAUCUUUUGUUAAUAAAUCCCUUUUCCUAGA